rnacentral:rRNA from 1 species
GAUGAACGCUGGCGGCGUGCCUAAUACAUGCAAGUCGAGCGAACGGACGAGAAGCUUGCUUCUCUGAUGUUAGCGGCGGACGGGUGAGUAACAUGUGUAUAACCUACCUAUAAGACUGGUAUAAUUUCGGGAAACCGGAGCUAAUACCGGAUAAUAUUUUGAACCGCAUGGUUCAAAAGUGAAAGACGGUCUUGCUGUCACUUAUAGAUGGAUCCGCGCUGCAUUAGCUAGUUGGUAAGGUAACGGCUUACCAAGGCAACGAUGCAUAGCCGACCUGAGAGGGGGAUCGGCCACACUGGAACUGGGACACGGUCAGGACUACUGCGGGAGGCAGCAGUAGGGAAUCUUCAGCAAUGGGCGAAAGCCUGACGGAGCAACGACGCGUGAGAGAUGGAGGUCUUCGGAUCGUAAAACUCUGUUAUUAGGGAAGAACAUAUGUGUAAGUAACUGUGCACGUCGUGACGGUAACUAAUAAGAAAGCCACGGCUAACUACGUG